AAAGAGUACAGUUUUGCACUAUUCAACGUUUCAUCGUUUGCCUUAUUUUAAAAUUUUUAUGAUUAGUAUUUUUAUUGUUAUAAAAUAUGAAAAAUACUUUAUGUGUGACUGAUUUUUUUAAUUUUUUGUAAUUUUUUAAAUAAGACGGAUGGUCAAACGUUGGACGUGGAUAUACGGAUAUCCACGGUUGUACUUAAA
rnacentral:pre_miRNA from 1 species